GCUGCUUGUUUUGGCAGCACAUAUUAAAAAUUGGAACGAUGCAGAAAAGAUUAGCAUGACCCCUGUGCAAAGAUGACAUGCAAAUGCAUAAAGUGUUCCAUAGUUUU